CUGAGCUCAUCGUGAGGUGCGCUGAUCGCUAUGCAGAAGUCAGCAGAGGGCGUAGGGGAAACCUGAAGGCC
rfam:Rhodnius prolixus Rhodnius_prolixus-3.0.3-2999.1, whole genome shotgun sequence.